rnacentral:rRNA from 1 species
GGGCUUGACAUCCCACGAACCUGCCUGAAAGGGCGGGGUGCCCGCAAGGGAGCGUGGAGACAGGUGGUGCAUGGCUGUCGUCAGCUCGUGUCGUGAGAUGUUGGGUUAAGUCCCGCAACGAGCGCAACCCUCACCCCUAGUUGCCACCGGGUAAAGCCGAGCACUCGAGGGGAACUGCCAGCGUCAAGCUGGAGGAAGGCGGGGAUGACGUCAAGUCAUCAUGCCCCUUACGCCCUGGGCUACACACGUGCUACAAUGGCCAGUACAAAGGGACGCGAGACUGCAAGGUGGAGCUAAUCCCAAAAAACUGGUCUAAGUUCAGAUUGCAGUCUGCAACUCGACUGCAUGAAGGAGGAAUCGCUAGUAAUCGCGCAUCAGCACGGCGCGGUGAAUACGUUCCCGGGCCUUGUACACACCGCCCGUCACACCACGAAAGCUGUCUGUACUCGAAGUCGCUGAG